CCCCGCCCUUCGGCCACCGCAGCAGAGGCCACGCGUGACAUUUAGGACCACGCGUGACCACCGCGAUCAAACGACGGCUACGGUCUGUGUUCGUAGGGAAGUGAAGUCAGACCUCUGCUGGAUGUCGUGUGUCCCCUAGGACUGCGUCCUCCCGCGCAGACAGAGCUCCAGAGCACCACCCCACUGUGCCUCAUUCAGGAAGUGCUGUGAUCAAGAAACCACUACUGCUGCUGGUGCCAGGACUGUGAUUCCCAUCAACAGCACUGAUGGCCUGCACCUCACCUCUGACACCCAUGGGACUCUUGUAUGUGGACACCAGAAAGUCUGCUAAUUCUGGAACAAAAACCUGAAAUGUCUCCAUGAGAUGGACUGCUGAAAGAAAUAGAAAACCACAGAGGUGAGGCCUCCACCGUACUUCCAAAUGCUGUAUUGCACAUGGAAUGCAUUUGAUUUGUCAGAUCAAUCACUUUCAGAAUCCAAGCUGCAAAGGAGUUUUGGAAACACAGACCAGAGUUUUCCAGCCUCUGUCAGACGAGAAGGCUAAAAAAGAUUGGAAUGGAUGAUGGGCAUUCAUAUUCACAUAAAUUCGACUUCUAUAUA
rnacentral:lncRNA from 1 species